UACAGAGGUGGCAAGCGUUGUUCGGAUUUAUUGGGCGUAAAGGGUCCGUAGGCGGUUUGGAAAGUUGGAUGUGAAAUCCCACAGCUUAACUGUGGAACUGCAUUCAAAACUUCCAGACUGGAGUGUGAGAGGGGUAAAGGGAAUUCCCGGUGUAAGGGUGAAAUCUGCAGAUAUCGGGAAGAACACCAGUCGCGAAGGCGCUUUACUGGCUCAUAACUGACGCUGAGGGACGAAAGCUAGGGUAGCAAACGGG
rnacentral:rRNA from 1 species